CAUGAGGAUGCAGGUUCGAUCCCUGGCCUUGCUUAAUGGGUUAAGGAUCUUAGUGAGCUGUGGUGUAGGUCGCAGAUUUGGCUCAGAUCUGGCAUUGCUGUGGCUGUGGUGUAGGCUGGCGGCUACAGCCCCGAUUUGACCAGUAGCCUGGGAACCUCUAUAUGCCGCGGGUGUGGCCCAAAAAGACACACACAAAAAAGUACUCAGUGAUGGUUCUUGACACAUUCUAUCCCUUGAUUUUUCCAUUUAAAAUUAUGUUCAUAUUCCCAGGUCAACACAUGAAGAUUCAACUUGUAUAUUUGCAUAAUAUUCACUACUGGGACUACUGCAAUGAAAAAAAUAGAAAAAGCCUAUGAAUAAAAUUUUAACUUAUUCUCUGUGUAGCAUUACCAUUCUCUCUCCUGCACUCCCCAGAUGAAGUUGAUUACCACUUUCUUUUUGCCAUCAUCUUUUCUCUGAAUUACCUCUACCUCUGGCAUGUUUAUUUUAACACAAUGCCUUACUUCCAUCCUUCGAUGGUCAUUUUAUUCAUCACAUCUCUGAAACUUCCUCCUUUCUUCUUUCAUUGAGCUUUGAACAUUAAUUUCUUCACUGUGCCAUAACUUUUCCCAAGUCUUUUUCUACAGCUACUUUCAUUUACCAGGGUUUUCCUUAGGAGAGUGUAAUCACCCCCCAUGGAGAGGACUCUACAAUAUUUUAAGUAGUUUUCAGAUAUUCCUAUCUGGCUCUCACUUCAUCUCCAAAUAGCUAAUAUUUUGAAAACUGGAUUCAUCAUCUUUUCUCAUCACUGCCCUUCCGUCAGCCAGACCUUUUUGACAUCUUACAAUGUUUAAGGAUCAUUAUUUUGAGUCAAUUCUAACUCAUUGACUUUGUUUUCUCUCAGGUUAUGUUUUGUCCAUCAAGUUCUAUUGAAAUUUUUUCCUAAUAUUUCCUACAGCCAUCAUUUCCUUUAUUUUCUCAAAUUAGCAACCAAACUAAAGGUAUGUAUCUUCUCAAGCCUGGCCUAUUGCUAUAGACACCUGACAUGGUGACUCAUAGACAGUCAAAGGAUGCUUAUUAAUGGAUGAGUGUAUGUGCACAUGUAAGCUGUAAAUUUUAUGUUCAAAAUACUCUCUGUAAGGAUGGUAAGUUGUCAUGAAGAGUGAAUAAAGAGAUCAUUUGUCACAUCUCUCACAGGAGCUGGAGAACUAAAGCAAGUUGGAUUCAUUGGUGAUGUUUUUGCCACCAAGCUGGUCUUAGAGGAAUUUAUAAAUAUUCAUUACAGGUACAUUAUUAGUAAAGUUGAGUAUUGUAGCAGUUCUCCUGACCUUGACUACUCAUUUAUCCUUUUCAAGAACCUCCCCCAUCCUUCCCAUGCCCACAGAGCCCCCCUCUUCUAACAUGCCUCCCUCCAGUUCUCACUGUCUGAGUAUUGUUCAAAGCUUAAGACUUCCCACUUUUCCAUUGAAUCCCAUCCUCUUAGGUUAGUGAUCUUAGAGGGCAAUAGCUAAUCAGAUUUACACAUCCAUUAAUUCUAUAAAUAUUUAACAAUCACCUACAAGUCCACGACUGUUUUAGACACUUAAAAUAAAAUAAAAAUUAGUGCUUGCAAAGACACAGCUGGCUACUUUGCUAACUAUUCCUCCGACCCUAUUAAUAUGUCAAGUUCUUAAAAUAGCAGUAUAUCAUGGUUAAGGGCAUGAUCAGAAGACAUUUUCUGGAUUCAGUUCUUAGCUAUACUCCUCUUAGUAUGUGAAAUAGUACAAUUUAUUUAAAUUUUCUGUGUUCGGAUGCAUCAUCUAUAAUAAAAAUACUAUUUUCCUCAGAUUGUAUAGUAAGAAUUAUAUAAUAAAAUACCUAAAACUCUUAAAAUAAUUCUGGUACAUAUUAAGCACUCAAGAAAUACUGACUAUUAAGAGGAGCUUUAAGUAGUCUGAACAUUUCAGAUCUUGAGACUUGCCAGGGUAAAGACAUGGAAGUUACACCAAUAUGUGCUGUGCCAGUUACAACUCCUUUUCUGCCUGUGCAUUAUGUAAAGUUGAUUGAUAUUGAUUAGUUGAUCGACUGGUUGAUGGCCUUGGGAUAGUGAGCAGGUUUUAGUUAUUAAUCAACACAGAACUUAAACACAGGUGACCUUUGAAGUCAGGCAGAAUCCUGUUCAAAUCUUUCUUUGCCAUUUAUAUGCCACAUGAUCUUGUAAGAAAUGGGGUUAAUGAUUCUGUAACCAUUUUUCAUUUAAUCAAUCUUUACUGGGUAUUUACUGUAUGUCAAACUAUUCUAGGCCCUGGGAAUACAGCAAUGAACCAUAAAGCCAUGAUCUUGGCACCAGUGGUGCGUACAGUUUGGUGAAGAGAGGAAAUAUGUAAACAAACAAAUAAAAGAGAUUGUUUUAGCCACCUCCUGGGGUGACUGUGAAGAUCUGCAAAUGCUUCAGGAAGUUGCCAGAAUGAGAGGGGCUUAUAGUCUAAUGUGGGAAUUAACCACGCAAAUAGAUAUUUGUCAUACUGUACAAAAAAAGUAGUAAUAGCAUUCAGCAUUAUUGUUGGGCCUGGGAAAAAGUGAGAUCCCUAGAGUGAUAAGUUCUGGGCCCCUGGCAAGGGGAGGAGAAUGGUGAUCGGCUAUAGGAGGCACAGCAGUAAGUUUCUUGAGACCAGUUUUGCCAUAUAAGGCCAUCCCUUCUCUCAUUUAGGCCAAACACCGGUGCCUGAAUUAUUUUCCAUAUCAAUUUGUUCCAUCACAUUAGACCUCUCCUGAAGUAUUUUCUUUUCCUAGAUCUCUCUUUCCCAAAUGCCCAAGGCAAUAGUUUUCCAGAUGCUGUUUUCAACAUUUCAGAAAUGGUUAUUAGAUUAGAAAGCCUAACCCAAAGAGGUGGGAAAUGCUGCAAAAUUUCCUUUUAAUUCUUGUAAUCUCAACAGGAUAAAUACUUUUUAGGUAUGUUGCCUCCUCUUCCACAUCUUUCUCUGUACCUCUUCCAUUUCUUGGUAUCAAAUUCACCUUCACCUUCAGGAAAUACUACUUGGUAGGAAAUUACAGAAAUUACCAACCUGAACUCUUUUGGCAGAAUUCCAGCUUCCUGGCUAUUGACCAAACCACUCUGGCCUCCAAGCUGGACAAUGGAGAACCACCUCAAAGAGCUCUUAUAGAAACCCUGGUGGAUGUAAACAAAAUGAGAUCAUUGAAAAGAGUGCAAUGCAAACACCAAAACCCACAGCUGAAGUUUUUAAAAGGCACCAUUAAGCUUUGUUUAAAGCCUCCAGGCCCCUGUAAAAAUCUAGAAUGACUUACAGGAAAGUCUUUUUUUAAAAGCUGAAAAAUUUAUGUGAACAAACACUUGUGAUUUUAAGGAUUUCCUUGCUUCUUUUUUUUUUUUUUUUUAAUCUUUUUGCCAUUUCUUGGGCCACUCCCGCGGUAUAUGGAGGUUCCCAGGCUAGGGGUCUAAACGGAGCUGUAGCUGCCAGCCUACACCAGAGACACAGCAACGCGGGAUCUGAUCCGCGUCUGCAACCUACACCACAGCUCAGGGCAAUGCUGGAUCCUUAACCCACUGAGCAAGGCCAGGGAUCGAACCCGCAACCUCAUGGUUCCUGGUCGGAUUCGUUAACCACUGCGCCACGACAGGAACUCCAGGAUUUCCUUUCUUCUUUAGUAUGGAUUGGAACAUGAGUCUAUUUUAUAUAGAACUGUAACCAUUUGUGAUUUUUAUAAUUACUAAAGAUUAAAAAAGUGAGAUUUAUUCCAGAUAUAAAUGCCAGAAGAACUUCUCUCAUUUUGCCCCUCUCACAUAGAUUUCAAGGCCUAUGUGAAUCUGUGGAUAGUUUUUUGCCUUUCAAUUACACUUGUACCAACAAAUGUCAAUAUGAGCACUACAGCCAAAGAAAGAAAAAAA
ensembl:lncRNA